rnacentral:rRNA from 1 species
GGAUUAGAUACCCGGGUAGUCCUAGGUGUAAACGCUGUGAACUUGCGUGUCGAGGAGUCCGCAAUGGGCCCCCGGUGCCGGAGUGAAGAUGUUAAGUUCACUGCCUGGGGAGUACGGUCGCAAGGCUGAAACUUAAAGGAAUUGGCGGGGGAGCACUGCAACGCGAGGAGCGUGCGGUUUAAUUGGACUCAAC